GAGAAAACCCGAAGCCCAAGCGACAGGAGAGAAAAUCAGUGAGCUAGAAAUCGACGCUGGUCGCCUGGGAGACGGACACGACGCCCGGGCGACAGACGCUCGUAGCUCAAGCGUCCAAAACUGGCGCUCAAGCCUUACAAAACCCUCAAUUCACACCUGGGCAAGCUCCUUGCGACGCUUGAGCGAGAUUUGAUGUGGAUCGGGCCCUGAUUCUGCUCUGAUUUGAUUUUUUGGACUGGGCCGCACUUUGGGACGCGUUUGGCAUUAUUUAAAGGACCCUGGG
rnacentral:lncRNA from 1 species